rnacentral:rRNA from 1 species
UAUAUGGUGUUAAAUAUAGUUUAACCUGCCCACUGAAUUAUUUAUUUUAAAGGGCCGCAGUAUUUUGACUGUGCGAAGGUAGCAUAAUAGAUUGUCUUUUAAUUGGAGGCUKGUAUGAACGGUUGGACGAGAGAUUAACUGUCUUUUAAGUAAUUUUUGAAUUUUACUUUUAAGUGAAAAGGCUUAAAUAAUUUAAAAAGACGAUAAGACCCUAUAAAUCUUUACAUAAAAUUAUAUUUAUUUUGAAAUUAUAAGUUAAUUAAAAUAAAGGUUUUUUAUGUUUUGCUGGGGCGGCAUAUGUAUAAAAUUUAACUGCUUAUUAAAAUAAAUCAAUAAUCUUUGAUUAAUGAAAUAUAUUAUUGAUCCUUAUAUAGAGAUUAAAAGACAAAGAUACUUUAGGGAUAACAGCGUUAUUUUUUCUGAGAGUCCAUAUCGAAGAAAAAGUUUGCGACCUCGAUGUUGAAUUAAAGUAUCUAUAUAAUGCAGAAGUUAUAAUAGAGAGUCUGUUCGACUUUUAAUUCUUUACAUGAUUUGAGUUCAAACCGGCGUAAGCCAGGUUGG